rnacentral:tRNA from 1 species
GUUGUUUUGGCAGAUUAGUGCUUUAAAUUUAGGAUUUAAAAAAUAUGAGAUUAUUCAUAGACAAUA